AGCGAACGCUGGCGGCAGGCCUAACACAUGCAAGUCGAACGAACCUUUCGGGGUUAGUGGCGGACGGGUGAGUAACACGUGGGAACGUGCCUUUAGGUUCGGAAUUACUCAGGGAAACUUGUGCUAAUACCGAAUGUGCCAUUCGGGGGAAAGAUUUAUCGCCUUUAGAGCGGCCGGCGUCUGUUUAGCUAGUUGGUUGGGGUAAUGGCGCACCAAGGUGACGUACAGUAGCUGGUCUGAGAGAAUGAUCAGCCACAUUGGGACUGAGACACGGCCCAAACUCCUACGGGAGGCAGCAGUGGGGAAUCUUGCGCAAUGGGCGAAAGCCUGACGCAGCCAUGCCGCGUGAAUGAUGAAGGUCUGAGGAUUGUAAAAUUCUUUCACCGGGGACGAUAAUGACGGUACCCGGAGAAGAAGCCCCGGCUAACUUCGUG
rnacentral:rRNA from 1 species